CCUCCUCGUCCCCGCGGGCCCCGCCCCGCCCCGCCCCGCCAGCGAGGGCGCGCUGACGUCACCCGCCCCCUGCCCGGCCCCGCCCCCUCCGGGGCCCCGCCCCCCUCCGGGCCCCGCCCCCCCGCCCGCCCCCCCGCCCCCCGCCCGCCCCCCCGCCCGCCCCCUGCCGGCCGUCCGGGGCGCGUCCCGCGGCGGAGGGUCCGGGGGCGGAGGGUCCGGGGGCGGAGCGGCGGCGGGGCGGGGCGGGGCGGGGCGGAGCGGGGCGGAGCGGGGCGGCGGAGGGCGGGGGGCUGCGGAGAACGGCGGGCGCCCAGCGAAGAGGGCGUGUGGGGUGCGGGGCGCGGCGCGGCGCAGGUCGGAGCGGGACGCGUCGGAGCCCGGGCAGGGCGGUGAGGUCAGCGAGCGGACAGUGGUGUCUCAGCGAGCAGCGGGAAGUUCUUGCUGACGUGUGCCAGAGCUCCGAGCUUAGCUGGUGAGAAUCCGAGACUCAAUGGCCUGAGAGACAAGUCCCCCAGUGGGCCCCAUAGCCUGGUGAGCGGGCGUUCAGGCCGUGGGACCGGGGAAAGGGCGGGCGAGUUCCAAUGUGGCACUGCCAGCCCGGGAAAGUGGACUGCUGGCUCCUCCCCUCCUGCCCCCGCUCCCCAGAGGAGAGGGGUCAGAGGGCAGAAAGUCCAGAAAUGAGUCCCUUGGGAGGGUCAGACAAGUGACCCCAGCUACCGGCCCAGGCAGAGUGCCCUGGACUGUGCCAUCCCUUUGGGGCUGGGGUUGGAGGUUCCCAUCUCUGCUGCUUGUGGGGUCUUCCCUACUCUGUCCCCCGGCCCUUGCCAAGGUCAAAAUGUGAUCGCCAGGGUCCGGCAGCCUUUAGAGCGAGUUAUGAAAAAUGCAGUUUGGGCAAUUUUCCCGGGCCCUUGGCGGUCAUAGCCCGCCACCGAUGACUGGGAAAGUAUGGCCUAGCGCUCUGAUCCUCUCCUUCCCCUCCAUUCUUCCUCCCCUCUGCGCCCACCCCUCACGCCCCGGCCGGAGCCUGAGGGGAGCCAGGGAAAGGGUGUUCUCCGAGAAAGUUUCUUCAGGUGUGUCUUAAUAAGUCCUGGAUCUCUAUGACUCGGUUCCCUUAAUUAGCCCUUCCCUGUGGAUUGCACCUAGCUGGUGACCUACCGCAGCCCAGCCCGCAUCCUUUGCUCCUCCAUUGCAAACCUACUCUCUCUACCUCGAAUUUCCCCGUUUCAUCGCUGACCCCUUUCCCAUCUCCUCCCUCUGGCCUGGAACUCCCUGCCCCUUCUCCAUUUUCAAAGCCUCACUAAAGUCACAUCUCUUCCGAGAUGCCUUCCCUGACUAAGCCCUCAUCUCUCUGAUUCAUCCUUCUUUCUGAAUUGCGUGUGCACUUGGGUGUGUACCCGUUAAGCUCCAGAUAGUCAGCCAACCCUCAGCCCCGCAACACUAACGUGCGUAUCCUUAUAUUCACUUACCUGCUAUUUAUUUCACUGUCUGUUUCCCUGUCUAGAAAUUUGGGAGAUAAGCCAAGUGCUUAGUACAGUGCUCAGCACACAGUAAGUGCUCAGUAAAUACCACUGAUUGAUUGUCCCACACGGCGUGGGUGGAGGGUCGGGGCUACAGACCAGGGUGUGCCAUGGCUGUCCAAGCACCUGGAGUUUUGGGGCAGUGCUAGAGUGUCCGGGGGUAGGAUGGAAGUUGUCUUUGCCUCCUGAGACAGAGCCAGGUGGGCGGUCAGCAUGGUUGGGGCUUGGAGGGGGGCCGUGAACUGCAGGAGGGGGCAGGGUAGAUUUAGGAUAAGGGUGACAUGAGCGUGUUUGAAAGCAGUGGGGCAGGAGCCAUUGGAAAGUGAACAACUUAGGCUGGUGGGGAGGAAGGAUGGGGUCGAGUGUUAAGGUGUGAAGGGAUGGGGUCGGGGGCACAGGGGGAGGGUAUUGGUUUUGAUAGGAGGCGGGAGAUCUCUUGAGAUACAGCUGGGAAAGUCAAAGAGGGAGCAGGAGGAGAGGGGCUGGAGAGGAUCAGGAGCUUCCCCUCACCUUGGUUCUCCAACUCCAGUCCUUGACUGUGGAGACUGUGCCGUUCCCCUGGAGACCGUCCCAGUGGCUGCUGGGGAUCAGUCUGGUGUGGGCAGGGAUUGUCUCUCUCUAUUGCUGAAUUGUACUUUCCAAUCGCUUUGUAUGGUGCUCUGCACACAGUAAGCACUCAUGAAACACGAUUGAAUGAAUGAAUGCUGGGAAGGGCUGAGAGAGGCAGACAAUUUCUCCCAUCAUCGGAGAAAAGGAGGGGACGGGGAGAGACUGGGACGGCUCGGGAACUUGGAAAAGGGAGGGGUGAGAGGGAGAGGCUCCAAGUGACCCAGACUUGACUUUUGCCCCAGAAGUGGUUGCUGGGAAGACGAGCAACAUACGGUGGCUUGGGGGCUGGAGAGCGAGUUGCUGGCCCAGUGUCCCUGGUGGGGAGCCGAGCCGCCAAACGGUUGGACGGAUGACCGGACGGAAGGCUGGGUGGAUAGCCCUUCUUCUGGGAAGGACUCGUGGGAGCGGAGCCGGGGAGCGCGGCCCUGCAGGCACUGUCCCCACAGCUGAGCCGCUCAGGAGAGGAUGGUGUGGGGGGCUUUAGUGGGGUGAGGGGCUUGGAAAGGAGUCAGUAUGGUGAGGUUGGAACAAAGAAGGGAAUCAAGGGGAGACGAGGCUAGGGCCACUAAGGGCGGAAGAUGCUGUUAGCUGUUGGUCCCCGAGGUUAGUAUGAGGUUUUGGCAAGGGAAGGGGGCAGUGGGAGCGACCGAGUGGAAGGAUGAGAGGUUGGGGGAAGCUAGGGGAGACAUGGUCCCUGCCUUGGAGGGGCUGCCAGUGAGAUAGGAAGAGAGGACACACAUGAGAACGCAUGCAGAGACACAUGCAAACAGCAAACAUGACACAGUGUGACUGGAGACCAUCUGUGUGGGUGGGUGUGUGCACUGAUGGGAGGCAUGGGUAGAGUGAAGGAGCGGGAGGGCAUGGGCAUGUGGGAAGACUUGGCAAUGAGUCAGAGUCUCCCACGAACUAUGCCAGUCCAGCCUAUUUCCAGGGCAUGGUAGGCAGACCAGGAACCAGCCUCUGCCCUGCAGCCGACCUGGCCACUCCACCCCUGUGACUGACCUGUGUCCCUCCACUCCUGUGGCCGGUGUAUGUCCCUCCGCCCCCACGGCCAGCCUGACCCUUCUGCCUCUGUGGCCGGUCUGUGGCCCUCCGCCCCUGCAGCCAUAGUGUCUUCUCCAUCCCCGAGAUCAGUCUGCAGCUUUUUGGCCAGCGUGCGACUGAGGAAGCAAGUCGGUCAUUGAGGAGGAUGCUCCGCUUCCUGAUUAACUUUGGCUGAGUCCAGUGGCCACGUUAGGCGCUCAGAGCCCAGGGUCAUGUUGGCACGCCACCAGUUGGCUCCAGCAGGCCGAUCUUGAUCACCCAUGCUGAGCCCGUGGCACAGGGUUUCCCCAGACCCUGGCCUCCACCCGGCCCUGUCCUGCCUUACGAGGCUUCUCCCUGACCGACUCAGGGGAUGAUCAGGGAGGUGAGAGGACAGCAGGGCUGGCUGACCGGCAUUCGGAAGCUGGACCAUCUGGAUGGGGGACUGGCAGGAUUCCGGUCAGGCGGCCACCAGCCAUGUUGUGGGCACAGGUGCAGGGAAGGGCUGGUGGGCGGAAGUUUCUCCUGCAGGAGCUAAGGGUCUGAGCGAGUUCCUGGUGGUGGUGGCCUGGGGCCAUGUGCCAGGGACAGUUUCUGCUCCCUGGAGCUAAAAAUAGAC
rnacentral:lncRNA from 1 species